GAGCCCCCAAACAGGAAUUCUUCACCCAGUUCAGCAGGAAGCAAUUAUCAGAAGACCGUCGUCCCAAGCCCUUAAGUUGAGUGUGUGACGGGCCAGUGAGUCUGCUUGUGAGUAGAGGAGAUAUUUACCACGCAAGCCCAGCGCUGCGUCAGCCUUUCCAUUCUCGCGUUGUAUGCGGAACGCCUCAUGGGUGCGCGCCAGGGAAGCAUGGGAGUACAGCAAGGUGUAAGCAAGCUCAAGAGAAGCUUGGUCAGGUCUGCGAGUGAGCAAGCAGGAGGCCUGACAGCCUCCAGGAACCCCCACUUUCUUCUAACGGGGCUUGCUUUGCUCUCACCAAGGACAGAAUGUAUUCUGGGAAAUUCAGCCAAGGAACCUCGUGUUCGUUUUAUUCACGUGCCUUCCCCGUAAAGGUGGGCCACUCACAGUGAGAGUAACACAGACAGCGAAGAC
rnacentral:lncRNA from 1 species